rnacentral:rRNA from 1 species
UCCGGUUGAUCCUGCCGGCGGGCACCGCCAUUGGAAUGCGAUUAAGCCAUGCGAGUCGAGAGGUGCAAGACCUCGGCGUACGGCUCAGUAACACGCGGAUAAUCUGCCCUGGGGUGGAGGAUAAUCUCGGGAAACUGAGAAUAAUACUCCAUAGGUAUGGAAUGCUGGAACGCGUCCAUGCCAAAAGCUCCGGCGCCCCAGGAUGAGUCUGCGGCCUAUCAGGUUGUAGUGGGUGUAACGGACCCACUAGCCUACGACGGGUACGGGUCAUGAGAGUGAUUGCCCGGAGAUGGGUUCUGAGACACGAACCCAGGGUCUACGGACCGCAGCAGGCGCGAAAACUUGGCAAUGCGCUCACGCGCGACCAGGGUAUUCCAAGUGUUGCAACUUAGUUGCAACUGUUUUUCUGCCUAAAAAGCAGAGAGAGUAAGGGCCGGGUAAGACGGGUGCCAGCCGCCGCGGUAAUACCCGCGGCCCAAGUGGUGCUCAUUAUUAUUGAGCCUAAAACGUCCGUAGCCGGUCCGGUAAAUCCUUGGGUAAAUCGAAUCGCUCAACGAUCCGAAGUCCGAGGAGACUGCCAGGCUUGGGACUGGGGGAGGUUAGAGGUACUCCGGGGGUAGGGGUAAAAUCCUGUAAUCCUUGGAGGACCACCAGUGGCGAAAGCGUCUAACUAAAACAGAUCCGACGGUGAUGGACGAAGCCGUGGGGCGCAAACGGGAUUAGAUACCCCGGUAGUCCACGGUGUAAACGCUGCGGACUUGGUGUUGGAGGCACUACGGGUGCGUCCAGUGCCGGAGAGAAGUUGUUAAGUCUGCUGCUUGGGGAGUACGGUCGCAAGACUGAAACUUAAAGGAAUUGGCGGGAGAGCACCGCAACGGGAGUAGCGUGCGGUUCAAUUGGAUUCAACGCCGGAAAACUCACCAGGAGCGACUGCUAUAUGAAGGUCAGACCGAUGAUUUUACCAGAUUUGCAGAGAGGUGGUGCAUGGCCGUCGUCAGUUCGUACCGUAGGGCGUUCUGUUAAGUCAGAUAACGAACAAGACCCUCGCCCUCCAUUGCCAACUGUUUCUCCGGAAGCAGUGCACAUUGAGGGGACCGCUGGCGCUAAGUCAGAGGAAGGAGAGGGCAACGGUAGGUCAGUAUGCCCCGAAUCUCCUGGGCAACACGCGCGCUACAAAGGACAGGACAAUGGGCUCCGAUGCCGAGAGGCAAAGGUAAUCUCGAAACCUGUUCGUAGUCUGGACUGAGGGCUGUAAUUCGCCCUCACGAAAAAGGAUUCCGUAGUAAUCGCGCGUCAACAUCGCGCGGUGAAUAUGCCCCUGCUCUUUGCACACACCGCCCGUCAAGCCAUCCGAGUUGGGUUUUAGUGAGGCGUUCUUUUAUUGGGAAUGUCGAGCUUGGGUUCAGCGAGGGGGGCUAAGUCGUAACAAGGUA